rnacentral:lncRNA from 1 species
CGAAGCACCAUUGUAGCUCCACAAUACUGACACCUCUUUGUUUGAGCGGGAGAUGAAGACGAAGACAUGUUGAAUCUUCUCAGUUGUACCUCUUCUCACUCAGAUCUUCUCACUGAAACCUCUUCGGACUCAUACCUUCUCACUCAUAGUUCUCAGUCAUACCCCUUCACUCAUAACCCUAAACUUCUCACUCAGCUCUCU